UACGUAGGGUGCGAGCGUUAAUCGGAAUUACUGGGCGUAAAGCGUGCGCAGGCGGCGCGUUAAGACAGGUGUGAAAGCCCCGAGCUUAACUUGGGAAUUGCGCUUGUGACUGGCGUGCUGGAGUGUGGCAGAGGGAGGUGGAAUUCCGCGUGUAGCAGUGAAAUGCGUAGAUAUGCGGAGGAACACCGAUGGCGAAGGCAAUCCCCUGGGCCUGCACUGACGCUCAUGCACGAAAGCGUGGGGAGCAAACAGG
rnacentral:rRNA from 1 species